rnacentral:rRNA from 1 species
CCUUUACAAUGCACGAAAGUGUGAUAAGGGGAUCCAGAGUGCUCAUGUUAUGCAUGAGCUUUUGCCAAGAGUAAAUAUCUUGGCGAAUAAGUGAUGGGAAAGACUGGUGCCAGCCGCCGCGGUAACACCAGCGUCACGAGUGGGAGCCAUGUUUAUUGGGUCUAAAGCGUUCGUAGCCGGCUUAGAAAGUUCUUUGUGAAAUCGUGUUGCUCAACAUCACGGCGUGCAAGGAAUACUACUUUGCUUGGGACUGGGAGAGGUAAGAGGUAUUCCGGGGCUAGACGGUAAAAUGUUAUGAUCCUCGGAGGACCACCAAUGGCGAAGGCAUCUUACCAGAACAG